rnacentral:rRNA from 1 species
AUGGGCACGAUCAUCGCAGCGGCGCUCGUGGAGGGCCAACGACUUGAGAUGGCACGGGAGCACGGGUUGGUGGAUGAUGCCAUGUCGACAAUGUCAAUGAGCUGGGCGUGGCUGGUGCCGCAGAACGUGAUGAUGGGUGUGGCAGAUGUACUGGCGGUGGUCGGGAUGCAGGAGUUCUUCUACGACAAGAUGCCCAGCAAGUUGCGCAACCUUGUCUUGGCGCUCUACUUUAGCAUGAUGGGCAUCGGCCGCUUCAUCAAAAUGCCCUCGUCUCGCUCAUCGACAGUGUCACCCGGAGUGGAGGUGCCGACGGCUGGUUCCCCGACAACCUCAACCAUGCCCACCUCGACUACUUCUACUGGUUGCUCACCGGGCUGUCAGCCGCUGAGCUCAUGCUCUUCGUGUGGCUCACCAGUUCCUACACACCUACAAUAA